UGAGCAAUCUGCCCUUCUCAUCGGAAUAAGCGUUGGAAACGACGUCUAAUGCCGAAUACGACCUCCUUUCGCAUGAUCGGAGGUGGAAAGCUCCGGCGGAGAAGGAUGAGCUCGCGGCCUAUCAGCUAGUUGGUGUGGGUAAUGGCCCACCAAGGCAACGAUGCGUAGCCGACCUGAGAGGGCGACCGGCCACACUGGGACUGAGACACGGCCCAGACCUCUACGGGAGG
rnacentral:rRNA from 1 species